ACACCGAAUAACAUGCAUGAAUAAGACGCCUGUCGGUAGGUUGGGUGGUCGAAUGAAAAAGAGACAUAGGUGUAAUUACAAUUGCUGGUCUUGGCCGCCAUCCCGUUCCUGCUAAUCCUUGAAAA
ensembl:ncRNA VB0395L.3 ncRNA